rnacentral:rRNA from 1 species
AGUGAACGCUGGCGGUAGGCCUAACACAUGCAAGUCGAACGGCAGCACAGUAAGAGCUUGCUCUUACGGGUGGCGAGUGGCGGACGGGUGAGGAAUACAUCGGAAUCUACUUUUUCGUGGGGGAUAACGUAGGGAAACUUACGCUAAUACCGCAUACGACCUACGGGUGAAAGCAGGGGAUCUUCGGACCUUGCGCGAUUGAAUGAGCCGAUGUCGGAUUAGCUAGUUGGCGGGGUAAAGGCCCACCAAGGCGACGAUCCGUAGCUGGUCUGAGAGGAUGAUCAGCCACACUGUAACUGAGACACGGUCCAGACUCCUACGGGAGGCAGCGGUGGGGAAUAUUGGACAAUGGGCGCAAGCCUGAUCCAGCCAUACCGCGUGGGUGAAGAAGGCCUUCGGGUUGUAAAGCCCUUUUGUUGGGAGAGAAGAACAGCAGGUUAAUACCCCGCUGUUCUGACGGUACCCAAAGAAUAAGCACCGGCUAACUUCGUG